UACACCUGAGAGAAGAGACAAGGAGCUGAGAUAAGACAGGCCUAGAACUGGGGGGGGGAGGGGGGGGCGGCAUCUAGGGCCGGGAGAGGAACGCGCCCCCCCCCAGGCUGAGAAGAAACUCUGGCGACCAGGGCCGGCGGCCUCGUGUGGGCAUCGUGUCCCGUUUCCUGCCUGCUCUCUCUUUCCCACCACACAGGUUUCUUCUGUUCUCAGCCUCAGGGCUGGGCCAGAGCUGCGCCCCAGAAACUGCUUCCCCGGCUGCCCUUCGCCAUUUUCAUCCCAUCGGAGGGUCACGCCUGCCGUUACAUCCUUGGCGUUUUUCCCGAAUUGACCAUAAGACGCGAGGCCACGCAUGCGGGGACGAGGUGGCGUCUCCGCCAAAGUGCUGCUAACGAGACGCUCACGGCGCCUCUCUGCGUCCACCUCAGGCCACGUCUUAGGCGUACGUGUCUCGGCCUUUGGACGGCGCCGCCGUGACCACGCGCAGGACCGCUGUCGCGAGAGCCAAAGUGGGGGGACAGCCCCACUGUCCGCUGACGGAUGAACGGAUGAGCCAAAUGUGGUCGGUCCGUGCCGUGGAACAUUAUUUGGCCAUAAAAAUAAAAAGAAAGAAGGUCCGGUGCGCCACCGUGUGGCUGAACCCCGGCAACGCUGUACUGGGCAAAAGAAGUCAGACCCAA